AUUACAGCCUUUGCUUUGAAUCAGCCAGUCUACUAAGAGGUUGAAUGCCACAACGUAAAUACAAAAGUAGGAAAAUAUUAAGAAAUUGGAACAAGUCUGAGAUCUUAAAGAGCUCUAAUGCUGCCUCAUGUUAUUUGAGACCAAAUGCUGCAGCUACUCAGUGUUAAAUGGAGCAGAUGGCAGUUUCCAGCAACUCCUCCAGAACGCUAAGGUAAAGCUGAUGAGACCAAAACUAUCCUCACAGAGUAAUGGCAAGUCCCCCCAGUGAGGCCAGGCAAGUGGCUGGAGCGUUUCCGCCUCAAGCGAGACUUUCUCUCCAUCGGUCCCUGCCAGUCUGACUCGUGCCCCCCGGAAGGGCCUAACUGGCGGUGCGAGUUCCCUGCCCCGAGGAGUGCCGGGACUCGCGAGCCUGGUCGGAUUUGAUGCGAAGGAGGAGGAAGGCUCAGCUAGCGGUUUGCUCCUGUCUCCUCGUCCGGCUGGUGAGCCGUGGAGCUAACGGGGUGCUCCUGCGGCCCUGGGCCAGGCUCCAGCCCGGGGCAAGGCCGGGCUUUGGUGCAGUUCCGGCUUUCUGCGAGGCACUUCACACGCUUUUGUCCCAGUCGCGCAGUGGACAAGCUGCUGAGGAUGGCCACAGCAGAGAGCAGAAGAGGGCAAUUGGCCGAUGUCCCUGCCUCCCGCCCAGGAAAAGCAGCCCGCGGCUUGCCCGGCUCAGGCUGCUCCCUGGAGCUGCGGCAGUCUGCCCGGCCCGGCCGCGGGCUGAGCUGCGUCCUGGAGAGGGAGCCACACUCCAAGCUCUGACCGCCCCGGACCUGCUGGCGGGGGAGAAGAGGCUCCUUUUCCCCCUCUCACCGCCCUGGAGAUGGACUCUUUCCCCCGCCUCACGCCUCACGCCUCACGCCUCACGCCCGGUGGAGCACGUGUGUGCCGGCGGUGCAGUUCGCGGGGGCCCGGGUGCUGCGAGGUGCCUGGAGCGGGGUUUUCCCCCGGGUGGUGCUGGUCGGGGGCGGCCGCUUUGA
rnacentral:lncRNA from 1 species